GACCUGGUGGUGUAUAGCAACACACCUGCUAUGCAUAGGAGUUUUUGAAGAUAUACACAUAAUUGGCAGGAGAUCCUCGUUCGAAUCGGGGUCAGGUCA